rnacentral:rRNA from 1 species
UACGUAGGGUGCGAGCGUUAAUCGGAAUUACUGGGCGUAAAGCGUGCGCAGGCGGUGAUGUAAGACAGGUGUGAAAUCCCCAGGCUUAACCUGGGAACUGCGUCGGAUACUGGAUGGCUUGAAUCCGGGAGAGGGAUGCGGAAUUCCAGGUGUAGCGGUGAAAUGCGUAGAUAUCUGGAGGAACACCGGUGGCGAAGGCGGCAUCCUGGACCGGCAUUGACGCUAAAGCGCGAAAGCCAGGGGAGCAAACGGG